rnacentral:rRNA from 1 species
CAGCCGCCGCGGUAAUACGUAGGUGGCAAGCGUUGUCCGGAAUUAUUGGGCGUAAAGCGCGCGCAGGCGGAUCAGUUAGUCUGUCUUAAAAGUUCGGGGCUUAACCCCGUGAGGGGAUGGAAACUGCUGAUCUAGAGUAUCGGAGAGGAAAGUGGAAUUCCUAGUGUAGCGGUGAAAUGCGUAGAUAUUAGGAAGAACACCAGUGGCGAAGGCGACUUUCUGGACGAAAACUGACGCUGAGGCGCGAAAGCCAGGGGAGCGAACGGGAUUAGAUACCCGCGUAGUCCCUGUCUCUUAUACA